UCUGAUUUCGCACUUAGCUGUGACGGCUAGUGACUCCCCUCCCUCAAGUCGACGAUGGCGGCUGAGUAUUGGUGGCGUGAGCAGCGGCAGCGGUGAUAAGUGGCGUCGUGAGCAGCAGCGACGAGCGAGCUACGUAGAUCUGCGACGACGAGGGCUACCGACGGCUUCAGAUCUGCGACGUAGACUUUUGGGUGACGAUUUCAUAUUUUCCUGAGCUUUCGGCGGCGGUGUGUUUCCGGUGACGUACUACAGCGGCGACGAGCUCCGGUGACGAUGGUGUAGAUAUGUUUUGUUCUGAACUUCCGACGGCAGCAGCAGCGUGGCGAGUUUCCUUCUUCCUACGGCGAAGGUCCUAGCUGACGGUGGCGACAUCGACAGCUCCGGCGGCAUAGUGACAUCAACAGCAGAUGACUACUGGCAAAAGAUGCUGCUAGAGUUCAGAACAAAUGGCUUCUUGUAAACCUUCAUUCUACAAGGGAGUUCAGUUCACAUAUGGUUAGUGUUUUCUUCUUCCCAAUGUACCCUAGAAACAUCAUGUAUCCUCAACUACUGUUAUGAACCAUUCCCCAGAUGCUUGGGAUCACAUGCAGUUCAAAGAUAUUGUUGUCGAAGUUGCCAAUGUGGAGCUGUACAUAUUACAAGGCUGUCCACAUCUAUUUGCAAGAACAUCCUUGAUUUGAUUAAUGUUCUUGCACUAAAGGUGGACCACACACGGGUGGUGGACAUCCUGAGAAAGGUAAAAGGCUUCCCCAUUUGUUCACCUUCCUUGUUAGCUUUUACUCAUUCGACAAUUAUUUAGUCUAUAUAUGGUUGCUGUUCAGAGCAACUGUGUUUCUGCAGUUAAUGAGGCUCUUAAUGAGAUAUAUGUUGAAGAGGAAAACUAUAUAUGAUAGACUGUGUGAAUCUACUGAAUUACAUGACAACUUUGAUCAAAUUAGCUAAUUUGCUUUCUGUUAAUAUGGGAUCUUUGCUUCAACCUCUCCGUUUUCAAGAUAUCCAGGUAAUUUACAAUAUAAUAAUUUACACAGUUUUAUAGUAUAUAAAAUCAAGAAAUAAACUUUUUUUUUCUCUUUAAGAACUUUUUGAAAGGUCAACAAAUAAAAAGGACAUGCAUAUAAACAUUGAUGUUUUUUACUACAAUAAUAUACACACACAUGUAUGUGUGUGUAUUGUAGAUCUGUAGUAAAUAUCAUAAUGUGAAUUAUCUGCACCAAUGUUUUUACUGGAUGACCUCCCCUUUCAUGUCCUUUAAUGUCAAAAAAGUUCUCAUAAUACUUUUAUGAAUCCGUAAAAUUUAAUUUAAUUUAUUAUCUUCAUAAAUAGUUGCCUACUAGCUUCUGGUUUAUGAGGAUCCCAUAGGUAGAAGUGAAAAGAUCUUCUUGAGGAAAUAGAUGAGUUAUGGAACUUAUGGAUUAUAUUAAGUAUGUUGAAUUAUAUUUAUUGUG